UACGGGGGGGGCAAGCGUUGUUCGGAAUUACUGGGCGUAAAGGGCUCGCAGGCGGCCGACUAAGUCAGACGUGAAAUCCCUUGGCUUAACCAAGGAAUGGCGUCUGAUACUGGACGGCUUGAAUCCGGGAGAGGGAUGUGGAAUUCCAGGUGUAGCGGUGAAAUGCGUAGAUAUCUGGAGGAACGCCGGUGGCGAAGGCGGCAUCCUGGACCGGUAUUGACGCUGAGGAGCGAAAGCCAGGGGAGCAAACGGG
rnacentral:rRNA from 1 species